CAGCCGCCGCGGGAACACGGAGGGAGCUAGCGUUAUUCGGAAUUACUGGGCGUAAAGCGCACGUAGGCGGCUUUGUAAGUUAGAGGUGAAAGCCUGGAGCUCAACUCCAGAAUUGCCUUUAAGACUGCAUCGCUUGAAUCCAGGAGAGGUGAGUGGAAUUCCGAGUGUAGAGGUGAAAUUCGUAGAUAUUCGGAAGAACACCAGUGGCGAAGGCGGCUCACUGGACUGGUAUUGACGCUGAGGUGCGAAAGCGUGGGGAGCAAACAGGAUUAGAUACCCCCGUAGUCCCUGUCUCUUAUAC
rnacentral:rRNA from 1 species